rnacentral:rRNA from 1 species
CCCUAUCCGUCGUGGGCGUAGGAAAUUUGAGAGGAGCUGUCCUUAGUACGAGAGGACCGGGAUGGACAUACCUCUGGUGUACCAGUUGUCGUGCCAACGGCAUAGCUGGGUAGCUAUGUGUGGACGGGAUAAGUGCUGAAAGCAUCUAAGCAUGAAGCCCCCCUCAAGAUGAGAUUUCCCAACUUCGGUUAUAAGAUCCCUCAAAGAUGAUGAGGUUAAUAGGUUCGAGGUGGAAGCAUGGUGACAUGUGGAGCUGACGAAUACUAAUCGAUCGAAGACUUAAUCAAAA